ensembl:lncRNA
UUUUGUCCAUAAACUCCGCAUUUGAGUCCAUUUUUGUGCCCUGAGGCCCAUUUCCGUGACCUGGGAUUGGGAUUAUGGGGUCGGCAUCGGGAUUAUGGGGUCAAAACUGGGAUUAUGGGAUUACAGGGUGGGAUUAUGGUAUUAUGGGAUGGCAUUUCCUCGACGAGCUCCAGAUUUGAGUCCAUUUUUGUGCCCUGAGGCCGAUUUCUGUGGCCCGAAACCGGGGGAAACGAACCACGGGUCGGACUUAUGGGG